rnacentral:rRNA from 1 species
GAUGAACGCUAGCGGGAGGCCUAACACAUGCAAGCCGAGCGGUAGAGUUUCUUCGGAAACUUGAGAGCGGCGCACGGGUGCGUAACACGUGUGCAACCUACCUUUAUCUGGGGGAUAGCCUUUCGAAAGGAAGAUUAAUACCCCAUAAUAUAAUGAUUGGCAUUAAUUAUUAUUGAAAACUCCGGUGGAUAGAGAUGGGCACGCGCAAGAUUAGAUAGUUGGUGAGGUAACGGCUCACCAAGUCAAUGAUCUUUAGGGGUCCUGAGAGGGAGAUCCCCCACACUGGUACUGAGACACGGACCAGACUCCUACGGGAGGCAGCAGUGAGGAAUAUUGGACAAUGGGUGAGAGCCUGAUCCAGCCAUCCCGCGUGAAGGAUGACGGUCCUAUGGAUUGUAAACUUCUUUUGUACAGGGAUAAACCUACCCUCGUGAGGGUAGCUGAAGGUACUGUACGAAUAAGCACCGGCUAACUCCGUG